rnacentral:rRNA from 1 species
CGCCUCUUGAUUUAAUAUAAGAGGUCCAGCCUGCCCAGUGACAAAGUUUAACGCCCGCGGUACCCUAACCGUCCGAAGGUAGCAUAAUCACUUGUCCUUUAAAUYGGGACUCGUAUCAACGGCAUCACGAGGGCUAUACUGUCUCCUUUCUCCAAUCAGUGAAACUGAUCUUCCCGUGAAGACGGGGAAUUAUUGUAUAAGAAGAAGAAGACCCUAUGAANCUUUAAAUAAUAUAUACUUAAGAUUUAUAUCAUAUAGCCUAAGAAAUUAUAUAUUAGUUUGGGUUGGGGAACCGNGGAAAAAAUUAACCUCCACGACAAAUAGCNAAAGSCUUUAUCUAUGAACCACAAUUCUAAGAAUCAAUAAACUGAUGUUUAAUGAUCCAAUUUUUUGAUCAACGAACCAAGUUACCCUGGGGAUAACAGCGCAAUCUACUUCAAGAGCUCCUAUCGACAAGUGGGUUUACGACCUCGAUGUUGGAUCAGGGUAUCCUAGUGGUGCAGCCGCUACUAAAGGUUCGUUUGUUCAACGAUUAAAACC